GGCAAUUGUGCGAAUUGUGAUAUCCGGGCUAAGCCCGAAGGCAAUUGUGCGAGCUAUGAUAUCCGGGCUAAGCCCGAAGGCAAUUGUGCGAGUUGUGAUAUCCGGGUUAAGUCCCGAAGGCAUUUGUGCGGGUUACCAUAACCGGGCUAUGUCCCGAAGGUGUUUUGAACGAGUAGCUAUAUCCGGAUAAACUCCGAAGAUUUUGCUCGUUAGCGAUCGGAUUCGGGAUCAUAGAAGUUGAAGUCAACCACACUAUCAAAGCCCUUUUUGGUACUCCUUUAGUUGAGUUCGGAUAUGGCAUGUAUAGGACCACCCUCGGUUGUUUUUAAGUACUUGUGAUGUAUAUGUGUACGGCCAUGCGAAAAUGGUUCGUAAAAGUGGAGUAUGGAAUUUGACCAUAUGUGGUUUGUAAUUAUAUUUGGUUUCAUGAUGUGAUUAUGGUUUGGAAUGAGAGAGUUGGUCACAUGAUCAGC